rnacentral:piRNA from 1 species
UUAACUAGGCCAAAAUAGAAGAGG